AGUCCUGUAGCAUAGUGGUCAGUGCGCUCGCCUCAAAAGCGAGAGGUCCCGGGUUCGAUUCCCGGGUGGGGCGA